AAUUUAAGAAUUCUGGUUUGUGGAAUUUGGAAGUCAGACUUCAAUGAUAUUCUGAUGAGACUAAGAGGUUUAGAAGAAAGAUUUAAGUAAUUCCCAUUGUUGGAGUACAGGCAAGCAAUGAUUCAGAAAACUGGUAACUGAGAUAUGUCUAGGCCAUGAUUUCAAAUUUGCUCCAAGAUGGUGAAGGAAGAAGUGGUACUGAUAACACCCAGACACAAGAUGCAUAAAAUUAUUUUGAUACAAUAAGACUUGCAAUGACCCUUUGGGUGAACAAAAAUAUCCUUACUUCUUCUCUUGUCUGCUGUGGCUAUGACAUUAUCAGGAUCAAUGUGAGUUACUAUCCUGGAUGAAUGGCAAGAACAAUCCUAGAAGGCAGAGCUAAAAUCAAAUGAUCACUUUAACAUAUUAGAAACAAAAAGAAGAAGAAGAACAAAAAUAAAAAGCAAGAGAGGAAACAACAAUUUGAGAAAAUCUGGAAACCUAAAGUUGCUAUACAUUUCACAGAUACCAAAUUCACUUAAAAGAAACAAACUUGCCCAGUACCACCUCUCCUCCACCCACUUGUAGAGUGAAAUAGGUUUAUUCUCUUGGGGCAUCUCUCAGUAAUAAAGAUCCAGUGUAAAACAAUGAAAGUUAUCUCUAUAACUGAUGCUUAGCAUAGUCAUGCAUAUUGUAAAAGAAAAACUUAAAUAAAAUAGGUUUUUCUUAACAUGCUUUAUUGUAUGUAUUU